rnacentral:rRNA from 1 species
GCCCAGUGACCACAAGUUCAACGGCCGCGGUAUUUUGACCGUGCAAAGGUAGCGCAAUCACUUGUCUUUUAAAUAGAGACCUGUAUGAAUGGCUAAACGAGGGCUUAACUGUCUCCCUUUUCAGGUCAGUGAAAUUGAUCUACCCGUGCAGAAGCGGGUAUAACAAUACAAGACGAGAAGACCCUUUGGAGCUUAAGGUACAAAACUCAACCACGUCAAGCAACUUAACAAAAAGUAAAAACUUUGUGAAACAUGAGAUUUUACCUUCGGUUGGGGCGACCGCGGAGGAAAAAAAAGCCUCCAAGUGGACCGGGACAAACUCCUAAAACCAAGAGAAACAUCUCUAAGCCACAGAACAUCUGACCAAACAUGAUCCGGCCACCAGGACCGAUCAACGAACCAAGUUACCCUAGGGAUAACAGCGCAAUCCCCUCCCAGAGUCCAUAUCGACGAGGGGGUUUACGACCUCGAUGUUGGAUCAGGACAUCCUAAUGGUGCAGCCGCUAUUAAGGGUUCGUUUGUUCAACGAUUAAAGUCCUACAUGAUAUGAGUCCA